ensembl:lncRNA
GCAUUUUAUAGCCCGGAAGAUCUUAAGCACAAAGGUCCCCAGGCUCCUCGCGCUGCCUGCACAGAGCUGGCACAAUGUGGCCCCUUAUCUCCACGCCGUCUGGAAGGCGACAGGCGCGUCCUGCAUUUAUCACCCCAGGGCACCGUUCCACCUUGAGAGGAGGGGAAAGCACCUGAAACAAACCAACUCCAGGAGCUGACCAGAAGCGUGUUCAUCAUAACCACCUAUUUGGGAAUUUUUCUUCUUCGUCAAAGCAAGUUACUCUGCAGUGCACAGCAAAGGCCAUAGAAACAAAGAGGAUGGGAUGGAAAGGUUAUAGCUUGAAUCCUGACAUUCCUCAGGCUUGUGUUCAGCCUUUCAUCUCUGCGCUGCCCUGUGGGAGAGCAAGGUGCAGCGGGAUGCUGAGGAAGGAGGGGAGCAGCAGCCCACAGCUGUGUGGCUCGGUGUAGUGCAGCUGGUGAGUUACGUACUGCUACCUUCCUGAAAAGUAAAAUGCCUGGAGUACGUGCCAUCAGAAUAACAGGAGUAGAACUGACCAUGUGCUGGGGAGGGAGGAAACGGGCCUCCAAGUCAUUUGAAAACCAUCAUCAUCAUUUUGUUCGCUGUCAAAAACACCAGCAUGCCUCUGCCACCAUCAUACGGUAUUUGCACGGUGUGGAUCCAAAGAAGUGAGACAUCUGAUACUACAAUUUGUUCUUGGCUGAAGAAGACGGAGAAAAUACUCAGGAAUUUAUAACAUAUAUGUGUAUAAUUAAAAAGCAAGUGCAUCUUCCAGUGAGAGACUUGGGAGGCAUCCAACCGCAGGGAAAGCCCUGUGAGUUCGUGUCUGUGUAUCCUUGGAGCACACCUCUGUAACAGAACGCGUGCUUUGACAAUUCCUUGAAUGAUACCACAGCCCGCUGGUAACAGAUGUGCUUUCACACGGAACUGCAAUCUCCCCAUACCGACGCUGACGGGACGUGGGCGCGAGCACCGGCCGCUCACCCCAACCCCCACAGCGCCUCAGCGGACGCGCGCGGGGCAGAU